AAGUCUACCAGCCCUAACUUUUAAGUAGACUUCAUUUGAAGUCUACUCUAUCAAAAAGAAACUAGAUCUGAAAAUAUAUACAUUGAAAAUAUGAAAUAAGUUUAAAUUCUAAAAACUUUUAAAAAUAUAAUUUAAUAGACAAAAUAUUAACAAAUUAAAGACAUAAAGUUUGAAUAUGUAACUUUAUUUAAAUAAAAAUACUAGAACACGUAUUUAAAAUCUAUAGAUGUAAACCUUACAUUUUGGGAGGAGAAGAGAACAACAAUUGAAGAAAAUACCUGCAAAAUAAGAUAAAAUUAUUAAAAAAACAUAGAAAAUAAAAUUAAAGUCAUAUUUUUGUAGACUGCUUAAACUUUGUGGGUUUAGUAAACUUCAUAUGAAGUCUACUAGGAGUCGCUUGUGACAUAGGGUCACUUCAAGUUUUUAAUUGGCCAAGUGGGUCGCUGCAAGUUUUUAUUGUCGAAACGGGCCGCUAGGGGGGAGAGAAAUAAAUCGGUGACGGAUUUGGCCUUUUGACCCAUAAACUUAUAGAUUCUGACUCGACAACUUGUGAAAUGUGGAAGCAAAAAUGACCCAAAGAGUUAAACUCUAAAACUUGUUUACACAGACAAAGCUGAAAUCUGACUCUGCUGGGUGGAAUUAGACUCGCAAACUCCAUUCUUGACCCGACAAUCUCUGCAUUUUGCAAAGUAAGAGUCUUGAGUCCCAGUUGAUUUAAAACUCGAAUAUUGUGAAGAAAUCUCACCAAAUCGAUUGUAUAGAAAUCCCAGUCCCAAUACAGCAGACUCAUCUCCAAACCGGAACUUGACGGAGCUCAUGCUGGACCGGAGCUUGAACGAACCAGAGCUUUACCAAACUAGAGCUUUACCGAAGAACCGGAGCUUUACUGAGCUUAUGCCGGUAUACGAGAGCGACAACAAUCGGACCACGAUCUCCUGUAAGCCUACUACACAAAGCUCCACUCGUCGUCUUGUUCUCCAGCCAGUGCACCGGAAAUUGAAGUCGUCGUCAUCUCCAAGCUUGGAUCCAAUCUGGAACCAGUUUAAUCCUUAUUGCAAUUUAAGUCCCUUGGAUGUUGAUUUAUCACAAUUUGGCUCAAUAACUUUCAGAUUUGCAACCCUUAUUAUGUUAAUUUGUUUUUAUAAAAACAAUUGAAGUCUUCGUCGUCGUUUCUUAUGUCGACUUCAAUCAUGCUCCUUUACAACCCUUAUUAUAUGCAAAUAUA